UACGUAGGGUGCAAGCGUUGUCCGGAAUUAUUGGGCGUAAAGAGCUCGUAGGCGGUUUGUCGCGUCUGCUGUGAAAACUCGGGGCUUAACUCCGGGCCUGCAGUGGGUACGGGCAGACUAGAGUGUGGUAGGGGAGACUGGAAUUCCUGGUGUAGCGGUGAAAUGCGCAGAUAUCAGGAGGAACACCGAUGGCGAAGGCAGGUCUCUGGGCCACUACUGACGCUGAGAAGCGAAAGCGUGGGGAGCAAACAGG
rnacentral:rRNA from 1 species